UUUGUUCCUGUUUCUUUAAUUACGUUUCUAAAGAUUUAGAAAUGCAUAGAAAUCCGCAAUCCAGUAAUAAUAUUUAAUAAGUAAUUUACUGCGUCUGACAGUACGUUUAAUAGAUAAAUUAAUUAUUUUUCAAAUCCCUUCGUAAGAAUAUGAAUUUACACAAGUAUCAGUAGUGUAGUUACCAUUGCCAAAUACAAGAGAAUGGCAAACUACGUAACAAGUUAACUCGUUUUUUUUUUUUUUCUUUCUUUUCGUUAACAGGUUAAAAAAGGUUAAAAAGUUUUGGAGCAACACGGUCUCUGGUUAAACUCAGCACGAUCUCUGCUGCCACGAGAUUUAACAACUGUGAAAUCCACGCAUGUUGGGAGGACGGAACGAGCAACGAGAAUAGCGUGACAUUGACCCAACGUCAGGGGCGACUCUGCUUUUGGAUACAUUUCAAAACUCGAUUACACGGGAACAGGAAUAAGAAGAAUCAGGUCGUAUUGUCGCCUUCUCCGACGACGUUCAAAUAUUUCGUUUCGUUCCAACAUUUUUUCACGAUUUUUCUCUCUUUUUUUUUCCAUAGAUGCAAUCUUUUUUUUCAAACGAAAAAAAAGUGAGGGAAAUGGACAAAACUACGCUCGUCGCCAAACAUAUGACAAUCGUGAAUAUACAUAACGUACAAAUAUAUAAAUAUGUAUAUACGUACAAGCGAAUACGUGGAAGUUUUAUCCACUGCGAUAGAAGAGAAGAGAACGAAAAUUUCAAUGGAUAAAAUUAAAUUAAAUGGAUUAAUUUAACGAGAUUGUGUUCAGAGACUGAGUUCACAAGUCUGAACAGAAUGUUUGUACACAUAAACAGUAUUAUUCCUCGAUACGAAUCUGCCUUGGAACUGUAUCACACACGUGUGUGCAGUAAACAGGCAAGUCCUCUUCGGCAAACUGCAGGAAGUCUAGCAAAUUUCCCUCGAUUUCCUGCUGAUACACCGAACCAGCG